UUACGGUCAAAUCACCGUAAAACACCGGUUCUCGUUCGAUCACCGAAGUUAAGCAUCGUAGAGCCAGAUCAGUACUUAGAUGGGAAAC